rnacentral:rRNA from 1 species
GACGAACGCUGGCGGCGUGCCUAAUACAUGCAAGUCGAGCGGACUUUCAAGAAGCUUGCUUUUUGAAAGUUAGCGGCGGACGGGUGAGUAACACGUGGGCAACCUGCCUGCAAGACGGGGAUAACUCCGGGAAACCGGGGCUAAUACCGGAUAAUAUCUUCCUUCGCAUGAAGGAAGGUUGAAAGGCGGCGCAAGCUGCCGCUUGCAGAUGGGCCCGCGGCGCAUUAGCUAGUUGGUGAGGUAACGGCUCACCAAGGCGACGAUGCGUAGCCGACCUGAGAGGGUGGUCGGCCACACUGGGACUGAGACACGGCCCAGACUCCUACGGGAGGCAGCAGUAGGGAAUCUUCCGCAAUGGACGAAAGUCUGACGGAGCAACGCCGCGGGAGCGAAGAAGGUCUUCGGAUCGUAAAGCUCUGUUGUCAGGGAAGAACAAGUACCGUUCGAACAGGGCGGUACCUUGACGGUACCUGACCAGAAAGCCACGGCUAACUAUGUG